ACGACGUCAGAAGCGUGCAUUAUUGGGACUGCAACUUGAUUUCGUCAAAUUGUGAUCUCGUUUCGAUUGAUCUCCACGAUCCAAAUCGUUCAAGUUGUAGAACUUGCAAAGAAGAUAAACAGAGUCAAAGAUCAUUUGAAUCAAAUUCCGAACGAUGCAUAAUCGGCGACGAUCACCGUGAAUUUGCUUUUAUGAAAAUAAAUUAGGCCACACAGCAUCAAACCCAUUAUAGCAGAGAAGAUAAAAUUCAGUCCGACGAGGGGACGUCCCCGACGGAAAAGGAAAAGGAAAAGGAAAAGGAUUCUCUCACUCCAUUGUUAACCAUCUUACUUCAAGCAGUUGGCGUGGGACAUAUCCUGGUUGCUUUCUUGUCGGUGCUUUGGUGGACCUUUCGUCUCUAUUCUGAGGCCAAAGAUUUCAUAUCUUCUGAUGUUUGUUUAAGUCAUGUGCUGCUGCUCUAUUUUACAUGUCCUGUUGCUGUGAUACAUUACUAGUCAUGCUCUUUGCUGCUGCUUUAUGUUGAUGUUUGGCCAAUGACACUGCUCAAUGUGCUAUAUGUUCACACUGCUCAAUCUACUACAAGUUGAUGCUUCUGCUACAUUCAUGACGUUGCCUAAAUCCUAGGCUACUCCAUUUGGCUCAGUUGAUGCCUCUAUUAUUGGGGCCUAAUUCUUGCUCUUGGUGCUCAGACGAUGCUGCUGUUCCUGGUCCCCUGGUGUUUUUCCCCUGCUUUUUGGACGUGCUACUCGAAGGCCUCAGUUUUGGUCUCAUCCUCACAUGCUACUUUAUUUUUUGGUGUUGGAAUACAUUGUGCAUGGAGUUGAUUUAUGAGGCAAUUAUGUAUUUAUUUUUCUUUGUUUGGUUGAGGAUUGUGGAGUUGUAUUGAAUUGAUUCUUUGCACAUACCCAAGGCAAUAAAACCAUUUUGAUUUACUUGUUAA